rnacentral:tRNA from 1 species
AAUCAUGUGGCGUAGUGGUUUGAGUGUUGGACUAUGACUCUGGAAACCAGGGUUCAAUUCCCCACUUGGCUG